rnacentral:lncRNA from 1 species
AAUUUAGCUCUAUGGCAAGCAAUCGUAAUUGGACUUAUGUAGAAGUCACAUCUAUCUGAGAUCGGGCAAUAAAAAUUUAGGUGUUAAUGUAUGUUAGAGAUUUGGUAUGAUGAACCUAACUCCUAAAAUAUACCACACACUAAAAGAAAAGACCAAAAGGGAUGGACCUAUCUCAUCCAUACUUGUAUUGGUUCAUCUGACACAAGGUCAUUGAUGAACCAAUUAGCCUUAGGAUAUUUG